GGCUCAGGAUGAACGCUGGCGGCGUGCCUAAUACAUGCAAGUCGAACGAGUUCUCGUUGAUGAUCGGUGCUUGCACCGAGAUUCAACAUGGAACGAGUGGCGGACGGGUGAGUAACACGUGGGUAACCUGCCCUUAAGUGGGGGAUAACAUUUGGAAACAGAUGCUAAUACCGCAUAGAUCCAAGAACCGCAUGGUUCUUGGCUGAAAGAUGGCGUAAGCUAUCGCUUUUGGAUGGACCCGCGGCGUAUUAGCUAGUUGGUGAGGUAAUGGCUCACCAAGGCGAUGAUACGUAGCCGAACUGAGAGGUUGAUCGGCCACAUUGGGACUGAGACACGGCCCAAACUCCUACGGGAGGCAGCAGUAGGGAAUCUUCCACAAUGGACGCAAGUCUGAUGGAGCAACGCCGCGUGAGUGAAGAAGGCUUUCGGGUCGUAAAACUCUGUUGUUGGAGAAGAAUGGUCGGCAGAGUAACUGUUGUCGGCGUGACGGUAUCCAACCAGAAAGCCACGGCUAACUACGUGCCAGCAGCCGCGGUAAUACGUAGGUGGCAAGCGUUAUCCGGAUUUAUUGGGCGUAAAGCGAGCGCAGGCGGUUUUUUAAGUCUGAUGUGAAAGCCCUCGGCUUAACCG
rnacentral:rRNA from 2 species